UACGGAGGAUGCGAGCGUUAUUCGGAUUUAUUGGGUUUAAAGGGUGCGUAGGCGGGCUGUUAAGUCAGCGGUAAAAUUUCGGGGCUCAACCCCGACAAGCCGUUGAAACUGGCUUGCUAGAGUGGGCGAGAAGUAUGCGGAAUGCGUGGUGUAGCGGUGAAAUGCAUAGAUAUCACGCAGAACUCCGAUUGCGAAGGCAGCAUACCGGCGCCCUACUGACGCUGAGGCACGAAGGCGUGGGUAUCGAACAGG
rnacentral:rRNA from 1 species